AAAUAUUCAUUAAUAUUGUCCUGUGUUUCUCAAUGUAAGUAUAUGGUGGUCUGGAAUCUUGCAUAUAUCCAUGAUUCUUGACAAUUGUAAAUAACUGAAUCUGGGCAUGUUCCUCUCUUCUCCUUCUUCUUCUAUGGAAUCUUGCAUGUUGGUUCUAGCAUAUCCAUGAUUCUUGACAACAAGAAUUUUUUCGACAAACACACUGUUUAAUUUCUCAACUUUCUUGCAUUGUUGCAUAUUCUUGAUUACUGAAUCUGGGUAUGUUUCUUUUUUUCUUGGUCCCGUGUUUAUGCUUUCUUUGUGGGUCUUGCAUAUUGGUUGUAGUUAGUCGAUAUAUUGUUUAUGUGGCUUAAUUUCUCCUCCUAAUCUGUUUCUAUAUAUUGCCAACACUUUUUACUUUCACUAAUUUCCCAUGUUUUAGUAUCGCCAAGAAGUACCUUCUUGUGUGGUUUUCCUGUUUAAAGAUAUCUGACGUUCACCAGGUGUUUGAGAAAAGGUCUUAGAUAGAAAAAUCAUAAUCUAUUAGAUAUAUUGGUGGUCAAGUUCUCUAUGUUUCUGACACGAAGCUUCUCCAUUAAGUAGCAAGCAAUUUACUUUUUAAGGUACACUAAUUUAACUAUGCAUAAGUUUGAGAGUGAUUAUACUAGAUGCACUUGGUGUUUUUAUAAUAAACUAAUAAUAGUAUUAGUGUACUAAUUCGACGGGGCUUCUCAAAGCUUGCAGUACCUGUACUUAACAUGUGCAAUGGGGAUACUGUACUUAAAAAGGGAAUAGAUGAACCAGGGUAAUACUUAUAAUUCUUUCUGUUUCUCCUUUUGGUCGAUCAUCCCUUCCUUCUAAGGACGUUAAAAUAGGCGGAGCGGGAGAGUUAGUGAGAAUUGAGGAGCAUAAAAUGAUUUUUUUUAGAUUAAUCCCACUCCCCUUUUUUAAUUCUUCUUUUCAAUGUUGUAGUUACAGAUUCCUCCUUUUGGUAGUUUAUUCUUGAAAUGUAUUUAGCUUGAAACCAAAAGUUUUUAUGAUGAGUAAAUUUUUGUUGGGGGAGUUUUCUGCAAAAGAGGUGUGAUGCUGGUGGCGAAUUGGCGAUGCAUGAGAGGAAUGUAAGUUCCAAAUUCUAUUUUUAUGAACUACAUUGAUUUCAAAGACAGCCCGGUGAACAUUUCAAGUGCAUGUGUUCUUUUAUCUUUAACUUGCUUCCAUUCAAUUGUUAUUAGAGUAAGUCCACAGAAUAUUAUAGUCUCUUAAGUUCUGUAUAGCAGUUCCCAGUUUUUCAGCUUUUUCUCUUUGGAAACAAGCCCUUUUCUUUUCCAUUUUUCCCCCAGACUACUUGGUUGGAUGAAUAGGAAAGUUCUCGAUCUAUCUUUCAGGUUGAAGCCAAAGGAACUUUCUGUUAAACGGCUUUUGCUGCAGGAUGUAGAACUCCCCAAAAUUGGAAAAGCUUAAGAGGAAUGGGGGCUGUUAGGCUUGUUUUCAAUUUGAAGCUGAAGUGCCAGAAAGCAAUACUACAAGAAAGGCUCUAUGCCUAUUCCUAACUUCACGAUUACCUUGUCAAUGCAGAUGAUGUCAAAAAUUAACAACUAGUGCUUAGCUACAUAUUCCUCCCAUCCUUUCCCUCCAAGAUAUUAUCCCUUCUUCUCACAAACGGCAGUGACCGGUGAGGCUCUUCAAUGAAUUCUUUUUUUGGGCGACUUAAAUAAGUGUUGGGCCCAUGCUAAGCACGGGCACAUGCCAUGUAAUUUGGAAAGAAAAUGGCGUUAAUAGUGUGGCCAAUGAACCUCUCAUGUGGUCCAGGGAUAUCAAUGUCUCAGACUCCUCCAUUCUUGGAUAUCCAAGACUGCAUUUGGUGUUCCAAACAAUUCACACUUUGGCACCCCAAGAUUUGAUUCCUAUUCCUUUGGCCAACCAGCAGUAUCCAGGUCAGGGAGCAAAGGUUUACUUUAGUGUCCGUUUUCUCACGUUUUGGAGCAGAUGAUAUAAGAUUAUAUAAUGUUCAGUGUGCAUUACUAUAUGCUCUACAUUGAUCUGAAGUCUAUGUUGCUUUUUGUUAAAUAUUAGUACCAAGUACUAUUUGUUCUUAUUUUAUAUUGUUGGAUAUCCUAAGUGUUUAAUCUAAGAUCAAAUUUGCAAACCUGGAAACGAAAGUACAACACCUUUGCUCAAGAGCUCUGGUUUUGGAAAGUCUGCAUUUGGUAUUAAUCGGAAAGGAAAGUAGAAUAGCAUCAUACAUUGCAACUCCAGAGUUAGGUAGCACCAGACCCGGUGGUGCAAACAUUCAAUCCAUUUGUGGAAUGCAGACUUAUCAAGAUAAAAGCCAGGAAGAGUUGAGGUUUGAGGACUACCAGUUAGGUGAUGAGGGUAUCUAUUGCUAUAUAGGCAUUGGGACCUGCUAUGUAAAGGUGGAUGACAAUGGAUGUGGUGUUUCACGAGAUGGACUGGUGGUGAUUGGAGAAAAAUAUGGUGAUCUUUUUGCAAAAUGUUGGACUCGCACCAACUUUUCUAUUGUAUUGAUGUUGCUGUACAUUAUUUCUUUUGCCUGACAACUAUGAUGUUCAUAACUUGGACUGAUUGUUGUAGUCUAUAGGAUUUCAUUCAUUACUCAAAUGAUAAGCUGUUUGACGGUUUGUGUUCAUUAGUUGUUUUUUUUCCGCAGAUGUUCUUUUGUGUAUUGUUUUGUGGUUUUACUUGUAUUGGGAAAACUUGUAUGGCUGUACACGACACAAAAUAUUGAUGCUUACAUUUUGGUUUUGCUUUUAUUGUAAGAUGUUCAUGUACAUCUCUUUCCUGGUGCUUCAUUUGCAAUAAAAUACUUUCUUUACCCGUACCGCCUCCCCAAAAGAAAAGGGGUAGCUUUGGGGGGGGGGGGAGAGAGAUGAAAUAUAUUUUGGUUCUUAGGUACUUUUAGCCCAGCUUAUGGAGACAUUGACGGAAGUUGCAUUUCAGUUUCGCUGAAACAGGUCCAGUGUUUCACACGCCGCCUCCAUGUUCUAUUGUAAUUCAGGAGUCAGAAAAAGGAUACUGGCAUGUACCAACUGCCUCACAACUUGAAUCUGAAGAGGAAAGGACGUGGUUGUACAUUAGGUGUGCUAAUUCACCUAUGGCAAAUCAAAAUUCUGCCAGUGUAAACAUAUGUUCCACCCACAGGUAUUUCCAAUCAGCUAAUUAAUGUGAAAUCAAAUCCAUGACCAAAUCAGCAAUAAAACACCGACGUGCACUUCAGAAAUCAAGCAGAAAACUUCCCAAAAUUCAAGAUGUGGCAAAAUCUAUUCUGAAACACAUGAACGGCUGAAAAAACAAAGGAGUUACAUUCUUAGAAGUUGGUCUAUCUAAUAUUCUACCACCCAAAUAACUGAUGUGCAACAUCUUCGAGAGGUCCCUUGUUGGAUGAUCUCUGGUGAAAGACAGCCUUCUCGAAUAAGGAGUCUAUCUGAAAACUAUUUUGCAGCAAGAUUUAGCUUUCUGUGAUAAGGAAACCAAUAUGGGAGAGGUGGUGGGGCGCAUGUCUGGUGACGCUGUUCUUAAACAAGACGCAAUGGGCGAGUAGGUAGGGAAAUUUGUACAGCUGAUAUCAACGUUCUUUGCGGGCUUUGUCAUUGCAUUUACUAAAGGCUGGCUUCUCACACUUGUUAUGUUAUCCAUCAUUCCUCUACUUGUCAUCUUUGCUGGAGUGAUGUCCCUCAUCCUAUCUAGGAUGGAGUCCCGUGGAUAAGAUGCUUAUGCCAAAGCAGCAACGGUGGUUGAACAGACAAUUGGCUCCUUUAAAAUGGCUGCAUCUUUUACAGGGGAGAAGCAAGUUGUGGCCAGCUAUAACGAGUCCCUAAUUAAAGAUUACCAUUCAGGUUCAAAUGAAGGGCUGGCAAGUGGAUUAGGUCUUGGGUCACAUUUUGCUAUUAUGUACUCCAGCUAUGCGAUGGCUAUCUGGUACGGUGCAAGGUUCAUCUUGGAAAAAAGAUAUAUUGGUGGUCAAGUUCUCAAUGUUUCCGACGCGAAGCUUCUCCAUUAAGUAGCAAGGGAUUUACUUUUUAAGGGAGAGUUUUCUGCAAAAAGGUGUGAUGCUGGUGGCGAAUUGGCGAUGCAUGAGAGGAAUGUUGAAGCCACAGGAACUUUCUGUUUAGACGGCUUUUGCUGCAGGAUGUAGAACUCCCGAAAAUUGGAGAAGUGUAAGAGCAAUGGGGGCAGUUAGGCUUGUUUUCAAUGUGAAGCUGAAGUGCCAGAAAACAAUACUACAAGAAAGGCUCUAUGCCUAUUCCUAACUUCUGAUGUAAGUGCUUAAAAGUUGAAACUGAAGAAAGUUGAAGAGAAGUGGAACCCCUAUUCUUCACGGCUCAGAUCGUUUACUUAUGUAUUUGAACAUUUGGAGAAGAGCGUGAAAGUGACAUGCAAGAAGGAAGAAAUAAGAAUAAAACUGGAAAUAAACCUGUUUUCUCUUUCAGUUUGAUAGUGAGAUUUCAUUUAGUUUGUACCAUAGUGCUAUGUUUUUUUUUAAAUGAGAAUACAUAAAGGUAUGAUUAGCACUCCCUAAAUCAGCACCACUUUUUUAAGGGUCACCAAUUGGUUUGAUCUAUGCUAUCUUUGUUUAUCUCGUUAAGUAUAUAUUGACUUUAAGGAAGUUUUAUGUUGUGCUUGAUUGGUGGGACAUCACAACUGAUAUCUUCUUCUCACUUGGGAAAAACUUGGUCCAUAUAGUUGUAUGCAACCAAUGUCCUAAAUGAAACUUACAAGAUGACUGAUUUAUUACUCCAAAAUAGCGUUUUUAGUUUACUCUUCUAAAAUCUUCGUUCUUUUAAAGUGCAUCUCCGUUCUUCAGGUUGUGUGUACAGAAGGACCUGAGAAAAUUAGAGAACUGGGUGUUUCGUUCGUUCGAUCAUGUGGAGGAUGGCAAUCUGCAUCUAGCUCGAGAAGGGGGCCACUCCCAUCAUCGAAUUGUCUAUGCUGUCGAUAUGAUAGGCAGAGAGAUGGAACGGGCCCUAUUAGAGGCAGUUGUUAAGGAUUUGAACACCAUUUUGCUAUAGUUUUUUCACUCAAGAGAUUUUGCAUAUUUUUUUUCUAAAAUAAAAUUGAGUUUUUAUACAUGUUCCAGGAAUUUGCAAGGAUGAGGUAUAUUGGAAUGGUUUUCCCUUAAUGCAUUGAUAGGCAACAACUCUUCAGUUGCAUCUGCAUUAUGAAAGUCGGGUUCUUGAUUAGCUUUGGUAGCUCUUCAUUUGUAUUUUUCCAUUGCAAGAUGAAUUUAUUGCAACUUGUGUGAGUAUAGUGUUAUAAAUUAUUGUUUUUUGACCAAAGGCAAAUUAAUGAAUAGAAAUUGCACGUGUUUGUUCACUUGAUAA